UCUGGAAAAGUAAGAAUGGUUGUACUGAGAUGAAUUACGACUGGAAAAAUUUGGGGGGUUUACCCACUAAUUCAAGGACUUGAGUUAACAGGCAGUGAGGAAAGCAAUGAAUGCUGCUGUGACACUCUUCCUUUUUAUAUGAAUAAGUGUUUUUUGAAGCUAAUACACUGUAUUUAAUUCCAGAUAUUCUGUUUCAACUUGAUAUUUAAUAAGCUUUGUAAUCUA